CCCUGAGAAACGGCUACCACAUCCAAGGAAGGCAGCAGGCGCGCAAAUUACCCAAUCUCAAUUCGAGGAGGUAGUGACAAGAAAUACCAGUACAGGGCCCAUUGGGUACUGUGAUUGGAAUGAAUACAAUUUAAAAACCUUAAUGAGGAACGAUUGGAGGGCAAGUCUGGUGCCAGCAGCCGCGGUAAUUCCAGCUCCAAUAGUGUAUAUUAAAGUUGCUGCAGUUAAAAAGCUCGUAGUUGGAUUUCGGAUUAAUGGGAGUUAAGGUCCAUCAAUUUGAUGUGUACCUUAUUCUCGUUUCCUUCCUUUUGAAUACACUCCCUGAAAUUUUUUUGUGGGGAUCAAAGUGUUUCAAAUCUUUUACUGUGAAGAAAUUAGAGUGUUCAAAGCAGGCGUAAUCUAGCCUUUGAAUAUAUUAGCAUGGGAUAAUGAAAUAGGACUUUAGUUCUACUUUCGUUGGUUUCUAGGGCUAAAGUAAUGAUUAAUAGGGAUAGUUGGGGUCACUAGUAUUUAAUUGUCAGAGGUGAAAUUCUAAGAUUUAUUAAAGACUAACUACUGCGAAAGCAUUUGACAAGGAUGUUUUCAUUAAUCAAGAACGAAAGUUGGGGGAUCGAAGAUGAUCAGAUACCGUCGUAGUCUCAACCAUAAACUAUGCCGACCAAGGAUCCGGGGGUGUUAAAUAUGGAUGACUCUCCGGGCACUUAUAGAGAAAUCAUAAGUAUUUGGGCUCCGGGGGGAGUAUGGUCGCAAGGCUGAAACUUAAAGGAAUUGACGGAAGGGCACCACAAGGAGUGGAACCUGCGGUUUAAUUUGACCCAACACGGGGAAACUUACCAGGUCCAGACACAGUGAGGAUUGACAGAUUGAGAGUUCUUUCUUGAUUCUGUGAGUGGUGGUGCAUGGCCGUUUCUAGUUGGUGGAGUGAUUUGUCUGGUUAAUUCCGUUAACGAACGAGACCUUAACCUAUUAAAUAGUUGCUUGAACACAUGAAUAUUUUAUUCUUUGUUCGGUUAACUUCUUAGAGGGACUCUUCACUGAGAGAGUGAAUGGAAGUUUGAGGCAAAAACAGGUCUGUGAUGCCCUUAGAUGUUCUGGGCCACACGCGCGUUACACUGACAUAUUCAACGAGCAUUUUCCUGGCCCGAUGGGGUUGGGUAAUCUUUUAAAUGUAUGUCGUGCUGGGGAUAGAUCAUUGUAAUUAUUGGUCUUGAACGAGGAAUUCCUAGUAAGUGCAAGUCAUCAACUUGCGCUGAUUACGUCCCUGCCCUUUGUACACACCGCCCGUCGCUCCUACCGAUUGAAUGGUCCGGCGAGAACUCAAGAUGGAAAUAGGUUUUGGACACCGUCAGGUGCUCCAACUAUAUCCAGAAUUUGUUCAAACCUUACCAUUUAGAGGAAGGAGAAGUCGUAACAAGGUU
rnacentral:rRNA from 1 species